AAUGUUCCAUUCGCUUCCUGUUCUCACAGCUGUCCUCUGCCCAUUGCACUCACAGGUCUCUGAUGUUUUUUCAGUGAAUUAACUCCAAGAAUUUAAAAGAAAGAACAUUUCAAUAUGUUUUUCUGACAGGCCCUCCCAUGUCUGAACCUUCCUAGGCUGAAGGACUACAAGGCAUCUUCAUUGAUAUAAACUGCCGUCAUGAAAGAGGAGCAGCGAGUUGAGACCUUAAGCUGUUUUGUCAGAUUGUACUUUGGUAAUGGAUCUGUGGGUCUGCUGACAUGUUACCCAAAGGUGUCUUUUCAAAACAGUCAGUCAUGUUUCUUCUUACCUAAUUAUAGGGGCAUCUGUUUCAAAAUGCAACUAAUCCCUCCAGGUUUUGUAGGCUGAGGAAAGGGGCGGAAGGGGUCAGUUGGAACUUGUGCUCUUAUCCCUCUUGCAAGAUUAUUCCCUAAUAUUCACAAAAGUAUUUAGAGCAUUGACAAGUAUUUGCCUUGACAAGCCUGUGGAGAACUCGAUACACUCUUGUCUGCCUCAGAUAAACCAUUCCCUGAAAAAAGACAUCAGCAGAGCAUGGGAAGUUGUUUCACCUUGCUUUGAUUUAAAAAAAAAUACAAUUGGUAAUCUCCUUAAAAAUAUUGGCAAUCUAAUGCCUAUGGGAAUGAGCAAUUUCUGUAGUGCUGGUUAAACUGGUCUCUGCUCAGGUGGGCAUCGUGCAAACUCUUUCCAUGCAAAGAUUACGGGUCCUGUAACUCUGCUGGUAUACCAAAGCCAGCAUAGUAUAUGAAGUACGCUAUGGCAUGUUCUGGUGGUGGUGUAAGGGGAUCUGUACUCUAUUCAGCUCAUGCUCUUUCUCCUUCUCUUUCCCAUUCUGCCCUGUGUGAGGUCUCAUGACGCAUUUAGGAAGAAAAUUCUGCAGUAGGUCAGCAUAGGGAAUAGCAAACCAGGAGCGUGGAGCAAUGUAGUUUGCUGCCCUGCAAGAGAGAUUUGUGUGCAGCCUUCAGUUCUGAGCUAUUCCACCAUAGCAGCUUUGCUGACUCUUUAAAACAUGUAGCCCAAAUCUCUCACUUGUAUGACACUGUUCCAGAAAUCUCUUUUUAUCUUUCCAUCACUGACCACUGUUCCAGAACUACACUUCACAAAAGCUUCAACGCUGCGCUCAGAAUUCUGCUUGGAAGGGUAAAAUUAUCAUAUAUCCUCUAGACACUUGGUGCUGGAAGAAAGGCAAUAGCUCAGCUGGAAUCAAUAAAGCUUGCUGGUUUAUCACCAUCUCAGGACAUAGCUUCAGCUGCAGGCCCAUGCAUCUUCACUGAGCCACCUGAAUCCUGCACUGGGGCUCCUCGGUCAGCAGUCGGACACCUGAAAUCUCCCUGAGAACUCUUAAUCUUACACAAGGCAGUGAGCACCCUGCAUUUAUCACUGCAGAAUGGCAGAAGAGGGUUAGGAUGUUCACCCUGCAAGAAGCAAUUUGAUUCGAGGCUUACAAGGGAAAAAGAACCUCUGAAGUCUUGGUAGCAACUUUUUUGAUCUGCUUUGAGGGAUCAAAAAAACACAAGUGCUUCCCACCAUCUCCUGAAACACACUGCCUUUUACAGGCAAAGAUAACAGCAUCCUAUUAGAAAGGUGUGCCUUUGAAAGUUUACCAUAUUUAUUCUUACAGCGAUGAAAAAGGGAAGUACUCUAUCCUUGUUCUACAGCAGCAAGCAACUGAGAUGCCUGGGGAAAAUAUGCUGUUCAUCUACUUUCAGCUAAUGAAAAGCUGUGCAUCCCUUUUCAGUAAGCAUGCAGAAGAACAGGAAACAAGACUCGCUCUUCUCCAUUCUCACACUGACACUUGAGCCACCAGGACAUUUCUUCCUCGCUGCCGAGCCACCCUGCCUCUGUCUGUUCAGCAUUUAUAGCCAAGGGGACGUUUCCAAGGGCUCAGCACACGAAGCAAUAAAAUUGGCAAUUUGAA